ensembl:lncRNA
GCAAAAUAUCGUACUUUGUACUCCACUAUAUGUUCCUUAAAAACAUGUCGUUCCUUGUUAUUUUGAACUUGAGAAUUCAUCAUCCGCUCCAAAACGCAAUAGCGGAAUCAGAUUCGUGAAUGAGCUGAUUCUUUUCAAUGAACCUGUUAAAUCGGUUCACAAAAGUGCACUGAGGUCUGUUCCACGUUUUCAUUUUAAAAGCAUCUUUUUCUCUCCGUUCUGGCCUUCCAUCCACACAUCGUUUAAUAGAGAAAAUGCUCUCCAAAAUGGAUAAAUUUGCGGGGCAGUUUGGACUGUGAAAACAGAGGCUUUUAACAACGAUGAUACGUUUAGUCAUGUGACACAUAUUGUACCAAUAGAUAGGCUAACUAUGUUUAUACUGGUAUUGUGACUGUUAUGUGCCGUUCACUUUCACACUAUUGCUACAGAUGUGUUACUUUGUGCACUCUUUUCACAGUCCUGGAAAGGUGACAGUAAAUUUACCCCCGAUUGCUGUUUGCAGCAAAACGUCUUAGAUCAGACAUACAAUCGUAAGUGAGUGCGACCUGAACGCGUCAGUGAAUGGUGAGAUAUUUUCCAAAAUAAAAUUAUUCUGCCAGAAGAAGUGCAUGAAAACAUAUCAUCUCAGUGAGCUUUUAAUGUUGUUUUCAAAUGUAUCCGGAUCAAUGUAGACGUAGCCUGAACGAUUCAUUCCUGAACUGGACUGAUCGGAUUGAAACCAAUGGAGCUACGAUCAACUUAAGCUUACGAUGUUUUUUGGGAAAUACAGCCCUGGUCAGAAUGACUAAUAUGAGAAGUGAAGACUCAUUUCAGUCUGAAGUCGACGCUGCCUCUCUGAUCUUGGAUGAAGGUGUGACUGUUGGUUAGUAUCAGGCGUCGAGGAGCUGCGGGAAAAUGAACGUUUUGAUGCAACGCCCUGAGAAACAGUGCGACCUGAGCUCAGGUCUGAACAGAACAAACGGUUAAAUUGAGCCAUCACCACCCAUCUCCUCUGUUUGCUUAAGUGUGUUACUGGGUUAUCUGGCCAAAGACUACUCAUCUUAUCAAACAUGCCGAGUCACCUCCCUUCAACUCUAGUGAAGACUUACGGUUUUGGGAAAGUACAUUGUGUAAAAGCACCACAAACGAAUGUCCCUGUUUCAGUCUAAAAGGUUUGACAGUCUGAUGUCAUAGAGAAUCUCUGGAAGCUUUGAAUUCUUGAUAAGAAGGUUCUGUUAUUUUUUAGAAUGAUGAUGAUAUGUGAAUUCAGAGUAGUGUAUUAGAACACACUGCGCUGCACACUGUAUCCCAUAAUGCAAAGUGCUCAUCAUGCUUUUAGCUCAGAUUGGCUGAAUGUUUACCCAAGAUUGGACCGAAAAUGCAAAAUAAGCGAAUUUGCAACUGGAUUUUGAAUUAUAUAAAAUGAGGUCUGUGUGGCAUUCAGAAUUGAUUUCCUGUUUAAUUUCUGUUUUUGAACUGAGAUAGCAAACAGGAUGAAGAGUUGCAAUAUGAUUUCAGUGUUUGAGGUGUCACCUACAUAAAUAAAAAUUCAACCCUUUAUCAAACGCCUAGCGACCACCCAAAGUGUCCAAAAAACUGCAUUGCAACAUGCUAAAACCACUUCAACACCUUAGCAACUGCUUAGCGGCCAUUUAAAACACUAAACAUUUGUGAAUCAGAACACUUGAUUUCCCAGAAUGCACUGCAUCUGUGUUAAAUUGUUUUGAGUUAUGGCGCUUUAAAGUCAUAUCAGAAAGAUUGUAAAUACGAGUUGAAUGUGCAUGAACUUUUUUAUGUAAAAACUUUUUUUUGUUAUAUAUAUAUAUAUAUAUAUAUAUAUAUAUAUAAGUAGCAUGCAAGUUGCAUGUACAAAAUAGUAGACUUUUGUACAUGCAAGUUUACAGCACCUUCAUGAAUUGAAUAAAAAUGUAAAAAAGCAAAAAUACACCUGAUGCUCAUUCUUUAUUCAUCAUUUGUAGAAUUAAAAAAUUGUUGUAGAGAAAGUACAUUGCCAUCUUGCUCCAGUCAAAACGGUUUGAACACACUAGUAAAUCCUACUUCCUGCCAUUCAAAUUCAACUUCCAGUUUAGUCUAAACUUACAUACUACUGUUUGAAAUGUUGUUAAACAUGAAAUAUUCAUGAAAUAAUCACACUAAUAUGUAGUGUGCAGUUUGAAGUAGACUAGUAUUUCAUUCUGAACAAAGUUUUUACAAGUUCAUCUCAUUAAAGAGCAGCAGAACUGUUGGAACUAUAAAGAGCAACUAACUAAACAUAACACAACUGUAAUGAGUUUUAACAAGCACUGGUAAUUAGUCAGCCCUCUGUUUGUUCACCCCGUUUGCUUUUCCCCUACAUCUGCCUGUUCCUCUGAUCUUUUGAAUGUUAAAUUCAUCACGUCUUCAGACAUUUGUUAAUGUUCUCAGGGAUGUUGGAGGUUUAGGCCUGAUGACUUUAAAAUUUUAAACAAAUAGUUCACCCAAAAAUUAAAAUUAACUCUCUGUCAGUUCAUCCAAGAUGUAGUUGAGUUUGUUUCUUCAUAGUAACCGACACUUGUUCACCAAUGGAUGCUCUGCAGUGAAUGGGUACCGUCAGAAUGAGAGUCCAAACAGUUGAUAAAAACAUCAAUAAUCCACAAGUAAUCCACACCUCUACAGUCCAUCAGUUAACAUUUUGUGAAGUAAAAAGAAGCAUGUUUGUAAAAAAAAAAAUCCAUCAUUAAAGGCCAUAAUAUUGCCAAUUCUCCUGUGGAAACAUCAUCUUAUCUGAAUCAGGAGAGAAAUCUGCAUAGAUCAAGCACAGUGCACAAGCCAAAACAGUUCUAAAUAAAUAUGUGGGUGGAUUUUGGUGUGGGAGACAACAGGAGAUGGACUUUAUACUGGAGGAAGCCUUAUUAUGGAUUGGUAUUUUGGCCAGAACUGAAAUUAAAAAUGUCUUGAUGGAUUAAGUUAUUAAUUGAUGGACUGGUGUGGUGUUGAUUACUUGUGGAUUAUUGUGAUGUUUUUAUCAGCUGUUUGGACUCUCAUUGUGACCCUGCAGAGGAUCCAUUGACUAGCAAGUGAUGUAAUGCUACAUUUUUCCAAAUCUGAUAAAGAAACAAACUCAUCUACAUCUUGGAUGUCCUGAGGGUGAGUGAAUUUAAAUGACGCAUGCCUUACUAAUCACAAAAAAGCGACCAAAAUAUCAACAGGUGAACAAGAUGAGGUGUGAUGUUAACUGGUGAUUAGCAUUCGUCUUGACGCCCGUCUAGAAUCCUGGGAAAUGAAAACUUUGAGUAGAAAUGAGUCAGAAAGUCUCGCUGGAUCCCCUCAGUCGGCGUUAAGCUCUCAGUGGAUGUGCUGAUAGUACAGAAAGCGGCUUCCUGACGUACAGGACUUUCGGCAGGAUGUUGUGGUCGCGGUGGAAGAGAGAUCGGUCGAUACGCAGCCUAUGGUCUGUCUCUGGAAGACGUUUGUACUCUACAGUGAAUCUCAAAGGCGUGUGUUUGUGAGACUUCAUGGUUAAACUGAUAGACUGAAGAUGUGCCGCUUUUGACGUCCUGUCGAAAUUCAGGUCUCCGUCAAAGCGGUUUGCACGCAGACGUGUCAUCGUAGCACCACUGCUCAUGAUUGACAUAUGAGCUCAUUGAGACUUAGUCAGAAAACUUUCAUGCUUUAAGUGAUGAAACCAACACAUAUCUUGGCUUUAGCACGUUAACCUAUAGACGUGCUUUGAUCUCACCACAACACAGAGGGACAAACCCAAUUGGUCUCCGUGAUGGAACACAAAAGCACCCAGAGCAGACGACCUCAAGAAACUGCCAUUUGUGGCCUGUCUGCUUGACCUUUGCCUGCACAGGAAGCUGAUGGUGAGGGCAGGAGAGUUUCUGCUGGAGCUUAUGACCGGGCUGCUCUGAUGUUUCAAUUAUGUUGGCAGAUCUUUAGUUUCAGUGAUGCAACCACAAAAUAGUGCCGUUUUUGUUUUGUAACUGAUUUAACAGACUUUCCAUGCAAAUACACAGGGUCCAACAUUAACUUUUUGACACACUAGAUAAAGGCAGUUGAAUUGAAACUUUGUUUUGCACUUUUGUUCCUAUGACAAUGGAAUUAUUUUGUUGUUGUUUUUUAUCUUGUUGUGACCAACA